rnacentral:rRNA from 1 species
AGUGAACGCUGGCGGUAGGCCUAACACAUGCAAGUCGAACGGCAGCACAGUAAGAGCUUGCUCUUACGGGUGGCGAGUGGCGGACGGGUGAGGAAUACAUCGGAAUCUACUUUUUCGUGGGGGAUAACGUAGGGAAACUUACGCUAAUACCGCAUACGACCUACGGGUGAAAGCAGGGGAUCUUCGGACCUUGCGCGAUUGAAUGAGCCGAUGUCGGAUUAGCUAGUUGGCGGGGUAAAGGCCCACCAAGGCGACGAUCCGUAGCUGGUCUGAGGGGAUGAUCAAACACACUGGAACUGAGACACGGUCCAGACUCCUACGGGAGGCAGCAGUGGGGAAUAUUGGACAAUGGGCGCAAGCCUGAUCCAGCCAUACCGCGUGGGUGAAGAAGGCCUUCGGGUUGUAAAGCCCUUUUGUUGGGAAAGAAAAGCAGCAGGUUAAUACCCCGCUGUUCUGACGGUACCCAAAGAAUAAGCACCGGCUAACUUCGUG